UACGUAGGGGGCAAGCGUUGUCCGGAAUCAUUGGGCGUAAAGCGCGUGUAGGCGGCUCGGUAAGUCCGCUCUGAAAGUCCGGGGCUCAACCCCGGGAGGCGGGUGGAUACUGUCGAGCUCGAGUCCGGAAGAGGCGAGUGGAAUUCCUGGUGUAGCGGUGAAAUGCGCAGAUAUCAGGAGGAACACCUAUUGCGAAGGCAGCUCGCUGGGACGUAACUGACGCUGAGACGCGAAAGCGUGGGGAGCAAACAGG
rnacentral:rRNA from 1 species